UGGGCACAGCCCCCUGUCAGGACUCCUCUGGGCCCCUACAACUCCAUUCUUGCCUGCUCCCUUCACACCUCCAAGAGCUGCCAUUUUCAGUUCUGCCUGCAACACAAGCACAGGCCAUGCAUCCCUGGCCAGGAAGCACAGCAACAAAGGAAGUCUUGGAAGGCAAAAAUGGAAACAAGAGCAGCUGGGCCUGUAUUCCUGCUGCCAUAUUCUGUAGCUCGGUCACUUGCUUUUUCCAGACUACAAAGGAGUUUUAAAUGGGUUUUAAAGCUAAACUGAAGAACAUAUCAGCCUGAUCCUGGCUACACGUGCAAAUUUUGGUAAUGGUUGUGAGCAUCAGUACCAAAACAA